GGUUUGGCUGUUCGCCAAUUAAAGCGGUACGUGAGCUGGGUUUAGAACGUCGUGAGACAGUUUGGUCCCUAUCUGCCGUGGGUGUAGGAAAUUUGAGAGGAGCUGUCCCUAGUACGAGAGGACCGGGAUGGACAUACCUCUGGUGGAGCUGUUGUCGCGCCAGCGGCAUUGCAGCGUAGCUAAGUAUGGACGGGAUAACCGCUGAAAGCAUCUAAGCGGGAAGCCUCCCUCGAAACUAGAUUUCCCUUGAGAACCGUGGAAGACCACCACGUUGAUAGGCCGGGUGUGGAAGCGCAGCAAUGCGUGUAGCUUACCGGUACUAAUUGUUCGAUCGACUUGAUCGU
rnacentral:ncRNA from 1 species